rnacentral:lncRNA from 1 species
ACCCUGCCCUACACCCAGGUCUAAAUGUCAAAUGUAGUCCUACAACUUCCACUUGAUCGACCAAGCCCUACACCCAGAUCUAUAUUUCCCAUGUAGUCCUACACCUUCCCCUUGAUCGACCCAGCCCUACACCCAUGUCUGUAUGUCCCAUGCAGUCCUACACCUUCCCGUUGAUCGGCGCAGCUCUACACCCAGGUCUAUAUGUCCCAUGUAGUCCCACACAUUCCCACUGGUCCGAGAUAGGUAUAGUGAUUACCAGUAAAUAAUAUUUUCCCAUUCAAAAAACAUUUUUCUUUA